rnacentral:lncRNA from 1 species
UUAUAAGGCCAGCUUUCUCUUCACUACAACAUGCUAAGCCUUCCUACAUAGCUCAGAAAGAGCAUCAAUAGAAGCAGGGAUGAGAAAACUCAUUCAUUUCUUCCUUCUGUUCAUGUGGUCUGUGGUAUACUCCCAGUACAACACUAUGUUCCUCUCUGCAGUGAUAUUCAAGCAAAAGUUUUUCAUCAUAAUUCCCAAACCUGUUUUUUAAUUUCAUCACAUAUGAGAUUGAGAGCUUACAUGACUUUCUCAGAGCCAUAGAGAAAAUAUGUAGCAGAGGCAUGACUUGAAUCCUCCCUUCACUUCCUCAUGGUAUUUCAUGAAAUACAACAAAAUACAAAGGCACCUCUUGGAAGGUUUAUUUUGGAGUACCACCAAACCAGUGUCAUUUGACUCCCCAGAGGUCCUUGUGGCAGUAACACUUCAUGAUGGAGCAGAUGAAAUAAUGAUUGGGGAGUCUGGAUAAACUCAUCAUCCUAUCACAUACCUAUUCCUCCCCUUUGCUGUCAUAUCAGAUGCUUUCCUCAAUCUUCCACAGCUGGCAAUUUGAAAGAUGGGGAAGAUAUGAACAGUGGAGACAGGCAUGAGUCCCUUCUCUUGUGCCAUACUCACUAUGAUACCCACUUGCUCUCUUUAGCAAGUAUCAGGAAAAUGAGAAGAAUAAAGCAAGAGGAAGGGAACA